rnacentral:pre_miRNA from 1 species
CCUUACGAAUAAGCAAAGAAAGCAGUUUCUUGAGAUGGAAUCUACUCCUAGUGAAUAUGCUGUGAA